rnacentral:rRNA from 1 species
AUUGAACGCUGGCGGCAUGCUUUACACAUGCAAGUCGAACGGUAACAGGCCGCAAGGUGCUGACGAGUGGCGAACGGGUGAGUAAUGCAUCGGAACGUGCCCAGUCGUGGGGGAUAACGCAGCGAAAGCUGCGCUAAUACCGCAUACGAUCUAUGGAUGAAAGCGGGGGACCGUAAGGCCUCGCGCGAUUGGAGCGGCCGAUGUCAGAUUAGGUAGUUGGUGGGGUAAAGGCUCACCAAGCCAACGAUCUGUAGCUGGUCUGAGAGGACGACCAGCCACACUGGGACUGAGACACGGCCCAGACUCCUACGGGAGGCAGAAGUGGGGAAUUUUGGACAAUGGGCGCAAGCCUGAUCCAGCAAUGCCGCGUGCAGGAAGAAGGCCUUCGGGUUGUAAACUGCUUUUGUACGGAACGAAAAGGCUCUGGUUAAUACCUGGGGCUCAUGACGGUACCGUAAGAAUAAGCACCGGCUAACUACGUGCCAGCAGCCGCGGUAA